rnacentral:rRNA from 1 species
CAGCAGCCGCGGUAAUACGAAGGGGGCUAGCGUUGUUCGGAUUUACUGGGCGUAAAGCGCACGUAGGCGGACUUUUAAGUCAGGGGUGAAAUCCCGGGGCUCAACCCCGGAACUGCCUUUGAUACUGGAAGUCUUGAGUAUGGUAGAGGUGAGUGGAAUUCCGAGUGUAGAGGUGAAAUUCGUAGAUAUUCGGAGGAACACCAGUGGCGAAAGCGGCUCACUGGACCAUUACUGACGCUGAGGUGCGAAAGCGUGGGGAGCAAACAGGAUUAGAUACCCCCGUAGUCCCUGUCUCUUAUAC